GAACCAUGCUGAGGACAUUUUCGUAGGAGGUCCUUGAACCUAUCCCAUGUCUCAAAAUGAGACUCCAAUUCCGUUUGAACAAAAAAAGAUAUUUCAAUCCUAAGCUU